rnacentral:rRNA from 1 species
AGAGUUUGAUCCUGGCUUAGGAUGAACGCUAGCGACAGGCUUAACACAUGCAAGUCGAGGGGCAGCAUAAAAGUAGCAAUACUUGGUGGCGACCGGCGCACGGGUGAGUAACGCGUAUGCAACCUACCUAUCAGAGGGGAAUAACCCGGCGAAAGUCGGACUAAUACCGCAUAAAACAGGGGCACCGCAUGGUGAUAUUUGUUAAAGAAAUUCGCUGAUAGAUGGGCAUGCGUUCCAUUAGGUAGUUGGUGAGGUAACGGCUCACCAAGCCGACGAUGGAUAGGGGAACUGAGAGGUUGGUCCCCCACACUGGUACUGAGACACGGACCAGACUCCUACGGGAGGCAGCAGUGAGGAAUAUUGGUCAAUGGGCGAGAGCCUGAACCAGCCAAGUCGCGUGGAGGAAGAAGGAUCUAUGGUUCGUAAACUUCUUUUGCAGGGGAAUAAAGUGCAGGACGUGUCCUGUUUUGUAUGUACCCUGAGAAUAAGGAUCGGCUAACUCCGUGCCAGCCGCAGC